GAUGAACGCUGGCGGCGUGCCUAAUACAUGCAAGUCGAGCGAACAGACGAGGAGCUUGCUCCUCUGAUGUUAGCGGCGGACGGGUGAGUAACACGUGGAUAACCUACCUAUAAGACUGGGAUAACUUCGGGAAACCGGAGCUAAUACCGGAUAAUAUUUUGAACCGCAUGGUUCAAUAGUGAAAGACGGUUUUGCUGUCACUUAUAGAUGGAUCCGCGCCGCAUUAGCUAGUUGGUAAGGUAACGGCUUACCAAGGCAACGAUGCAUAGCCGACCUGAGAGGGUGAUCGGCCACACUGGAACUGAGACACGGUCCAGACUCCUACGGGAGGCAGCAGUAGGGAAUCUUCCGCAAUGGGCGAAAGCUUGACGGAGCAACGCCGCGUGAGUGAUGAAGGUCUUCGGAUCGUAAAACUCUGUUAUUAGGGAAGAACAAAUGUGUAAGUAACUAUGCACGUCUUGACGGUACCUAAUCAGAAAGCCACGGCUAACUACGUG
rnacentral:rRNA from 1 species